rnacentral:rRNA from 1 species
UCUGGCCUCAAAUCAGGUAGGACUAC